rnacentral:rRNA from 1 species
CCAGACUCCUACGGGAGGCAGCAGUAGGGAAUUUUGCGCAAUGGGGGAAACCCUGAUGCAGCAACGCCGCGUGAGUGAGGAAGUAUUUCGGUAUGUAAAGCUCUAUCAGCAGGGAAUAGAAAAGAAGGUACCUGAAAAAGAGGCCCCGGCUAACUACGUGCCAGCAGCCGCGGUAAUACGUAGGGGGCAAGCGUUAUCCGGAUUUACUGGGUGUAAAGGGAGCGUAGACGGCAGCGCAAGUCUGAAGUGAAAUGCCGGGGCUUAACCCCGGAACUGCUUUGGAAACUGAGCAGCUAGAGUGCAGGAGGGGUAAGUGGAAUUCCUAGUGUAGCGGUGAAAUGCGUAGAUAUUAGGAGGAACACCAGUGGCGAAGGCGGCUUACUGGACUGUAACUGACGUUGAGGCUCGAAAGCGUGGGGAGCAAACAGGAUUAGAUACCCCUGUAGG